GCCCCAUGGUGUAAUGGUUAGCACCCUGGACUUUGAAUCCAGAGAUCCGAGUUCGAGUCUCGGUGGGACCU
rnacentral:tRNA from 1 species